GCCCUCAUGAUGAAAUGGUAGACAUAUAUACUUCAAAAGUAUAGGCUUUACGGCGUAUCGGUUCAAGUCCGAUUGAGGGC
rnacentral:tRNA from 1 species